rnacentral:rRNA from 1 species
UACGGGGGGGGCAAGCGUUGUUCGGAAUUACUGGGCGUAAAGGGCUCGUAGGGCGCCAACUAAGUCAUACGUGAAAUCCCUCGGCUUAACCGGGGAACUGCGUCCGAUACUGGUUGGCUUGAAUCCGGGAGAGGGAUGCGGAAGUUCCAAGGUGUAGCGGUGAAAUGCGUAGAUAUCUGGAGGAACACCGGUGGGCGAAGGCGGCAUCCUGGACCGGCAUUGACGCUGAGGCGCGAAAGCCAGGGGAGCAAACGGG